GCCUGGAUGGCUCAGUUGGUUAAAAUGUGGCACUCAUAAUGCCAAGGUUGCAGGUUUGAUCCCCAUUGCAGAGGGUU